rnacentral:pre_miRNA from 1 species
AGUACAAUUGCUGCAUCGUAUGGUAAGAGUAUGUUUAAUUUUAUAAGAAACUGCCAAACUGUCUUCCAAAGUGGCUGUACCAUUUUGCAUUCCCACCAGCAAU